AGUGAACGCUGGCGGUAGGCCUAACACAUGCAAGUCGAACGGCAGCACAGUAAGAGCUUGCUCUUACGGGUGGCGAGUGGCGGACGGGUGAGGAAUACAUCGGAAUCUACUUUUUCGUGGGGGAUAACGUAGGGAAACUUACGCUAAUACCGCAUACGACCUACGGGUGAAAGCAGGGGAUCUUCGGACCUUGCGCGAUUGAAUGAGCCGAUGUCGGAUUAGCUAGUUGGCGGGGUAAAGGCCCACCAAGGCGACGAUCCGUAGCUGGUCUGAGAGGAUGAAUAGGCAACAUGGAACUGAGACACGGUCCAGACUCCUAAGGGAGGCAGCCGUGGGGAAUAUUGGACAAUGGGGGCAAGCCUGAUCCAGCCCUACCGCGUGGGUGAAGAAGGCCUUCGGGUUGUAAAGCCCUUUUGUUGGGAAAGAAAAGCAGCAGGUUAAUACCCCGCUGUUCUGACGGUACCCAAAGAAUAAGCACCGGCUAACUUCGUG
rnacentral:rRNA from 1 species